UACGAAGGGUGCAAACGUUGCUCGGAAUUAUUGGGCGUAAAGCGCACGUAGGCGGCUUAGCAAGUCGGAAGUGAAAGCCCUUGGCUCAACCAAGGAAGUGCUUUCGAAACUGCUGAGCUUGAGUAGUUAAGAGGAUCGCGGAAUUCCCGGUGUAGAGGUGAAAUUCGUAGAUAUCGGGAGGAACACCAGUGGCGAAGGCGGCGAUCUGGGGACAUACUGACGCUGAGGUGCGAAAGCGUGGGGAGCAAACAGG
rnacentral:rRNA from 1 species